rfam:Pteropus alecto contig61323, whole genome shotgun sequence.
GUGCUCACCUCAGCAGCACAUAUACUAAAAUUGGAACAAUGCAGAGAUUAGCAUGGCUUCUGCACAGAAUGAUACACAAAUCUGUCAAGCAUUGCAAUUUUUU